rnacentral:rRNA from 1 species
UUCCUACGGGAGGCAGCAGUGGGGAAUAUUGCGCAAUGGGCGAAAGCCUGACGCAGCGACGCCGCGUGAGGGAUGAAGGUCUUCGGAUCGUAAACCUCUGUCAGCAGGGAAGAACGGUCACUGUGCUAAUCAGCAGUGAAUUGACGGUACCUGCAAAGGAAGCACCGGCUAACUCCGUGCCAGCAGCGGCGGUAAUACGGGGGGUGCGAGCGUUAAUCGGAAUUACUGGGCGUAACGCGCUCGUAGGCGGUAUGGCAAGUCAAGGGCGAGA